rnacentral:rRNA from 1 species
UUGGAGGGCAAGUCUGGUGCCAGCAGCCGCGGUAAUUCCAGCUCCAAUAGCGUAUAUUAAAGUUGUCGCAGUUAAAAAGCUCGUAGUUGAAUUUCGGGAUCAAUACGUCGGUCGUGCUUCGGUACGUACUGGCGUAAUUGAUUUCUCCCUUCUGACGAACCAUGAUGUCAUUAACUUGGUGUCAUGGGAAAUCAGGACUGUUACUUUGAAAAAAUUAGAGUGUUUAAAGCAGGCUCACGCUUGAAUACAUUAGCAUGGAAUAAUGAAAUAGGACGUUCGAUCCUAUUUUGUUGGUUUUUAGGAUCAACGUAAUGAUUAAUAGGGAUAGUUGGGGGCAUUAGUAUUCAAUUGUCAGAGGUGAAAUUCUUGGAUUUAUUGAAGACUAACUACUGCGAAAGCAUUUGCCAAGGAUGUUUUCAUUAAUCAAGAACGAAAGUUAGGGGAUCGAAGACGAUCAGAUACCGUCGUAGUCUUAACCAUAAACUAUGCUGACUAGGGAUCGGAUGAUGUUAAUUUUUUAAUGACUCAUUCGGCGCCUUACGGGAAAC